AGGACGAACGCUGGCGGCGUGCUUAACACAUGCAAGUCGAGCGGAAAGGCCCUUCGGGGUACUCGAGCGGCGAACGGGUGAGUAACACGUGAGUAACCUGCCCCUAGCUCUGGGAUAGCUCCGGGAAACCGGGAUUAAAUACCAGAUACGACCACUUUAGACAUCUGUCGUGGUGGAAAGGAUUCCGGCUAGGGAUGGGCUCGCGGCCUAUCAGCUUGUUGGUGGGGUAACGGCCUACCAAGGCGACGACGGUA
rnacentral:rRNA from 1 species